UCAGAAUGAACGCGGGCGGCGUGCCUAACACAUGCAAGUCGGAUGUGCCGCAAGGUGCAUGGCAGACGGGUGAGUAACGCGUGGGGAACCUACCUCUUUGUGGGGAAUAACGCUCCGAAAGGAGUGGUAAUACCGCAUGAGACCAUCGGCUGGGAUGCUGGUGGUGAAAGCUGGGGACCGUAAGGCCCAGCGCAAGGAGAGGGUCCUGCGUCUGAUUAGCUAGUUGGUGGGGUAACGGCCUACCAAGGCAUCGAUCAGUAGCCGGCCUGAGAGGGUGAUCGGCCACACUGGAACUGAGACACGGUCCAGACUCCUACGGGAGGCAGCAGUGGGGAAUUUUGCGCAAUGGGCGAAAGCCUGACGCAGCAACGCCGCGUGGGUGAUGAAGGUCUUCGGAUCGUAAAACCCUGUCGUCAGGGACGAAGGUCGCAUGUCUAAUAGAUGUGUGGCUUGACGGUACCUGGAGAGGAAGCCCCGGCUAACUCUGUGCCAGCAGCCGCGGUAAUACAGAGGGGGCAAGCGUUAUUCGGAAUUAUUGGGCGUAAAGGGUGCGUAGGCGGUGGUUUAAGUGAGAUGUGUAAUCCCCGAGCUUAACUUGGGAACUGCAUCUCAGACUGGAUCGCUAGAGUGCUGGAGAGGGUGGUAGAAUUCCACGUGUAGCGGUGAAAUGCGUAGAGAUGUGGAGGAAUACCAGUGGCGAAGGCGGCCACCUGGACAGUAACUGACGCUGAGGCACGAAAGUGUGGGUAGCAAACAGGAUUAGAUACCCUGGUAGUCCACGCUGUAAACGAUGAACACUUGGUGUGGUGGGAGUUGACCCCUGCCGUGCCGUAGCUAACGCGAUAAGUGUUCCGCCUGGGGAGUACGGUCGCAAGGCUGAAACUCAAAG
rnacentral:rRNA from 1 species